CCUACGGGGGGCAGCAGUGAGGAAUAUUGGUCAAUGGCCGGAAGGCUGAACCAGCCAUGCCGCGUGAAGGUCAGUGUCCUAUGGGCGUUAAACUUCUUUUGUGCGGGAGCAAUAAUGGUCACGUGUGGCCAGACGAGAGUACCGUACGAAUAAGCAUCGGCUAACUCCGUGCCAGCAGCCGCGGUAAGACGGGGGAUGCAAGCGUUAUCCGGAUUUAUUGGGGUUAAAGGGUGCGUAGGCUGUGAGGUAAGGCAGCGGUGAAAUGCCCCCGCGCAACGGGGUGAAGUGCCAUUGAUACUGCCUUGCUGGAAUGCGGAUGCCGUGGGAGGAAUGUGUGGUGUAGCGGUGAAAUGCAUAGAUAUCACACAGAACACCGAUUGCGAAGGCAUCUCACGAAUCCGCGAUUGACGCUGAUGCACGAAAGCGUGGGUAUCAAACAGGAUUAGAUACCCCGGUAGUC
rnacentral:rRNA from 1 species